rnacentral:lncRNA from 1 species
GCGAGACUCCGUCUCAAAAAAAAAAAAAGAAACGCUGUUGGGGGCAGGAGCCUGGAUCUCAACCCCUGCAAGGUGGAAAUCUGGCUUCCUCUCACCCAUACGAGCCUGCCAGAGGCAGGAGGCUGACGCCCCGGAGGGACCAGCUGACAUCGGCCUUGAGGGACCAGACUUCUCCAGGCCGGCAACCUUCUCCCAGCUUUGUGAGGUGGAGCCCAACCUCCAGACCAAGAGAGGCCUUCCUGACCUUCAACCCCAUCUCCAGAGCUCCCCAGAGCUGGUCUAGCCCCUCAUCUGACACACAGAGAAACGGAGACCAGGAACCUGACGCUGGUUUCCCUAGCCCAUGUGAGGACCCUGUAGACCAGCUACAUGCACACCCAGUCCAGCCGCCGGACAGCGUUCAGUGGGAAGAGAGCAGACCAUCGUCCACCCACAUUCCAGACUCCAACUGGCAGAGGGGAGGGGACGUUGGGGCUGCAGGGCCACCAAUGUGGACGGGACAGAGCCCCAGGGACAGCCUGUGCUGGGGACGUAUGGGGGCAGGAUCAGACCCCACAGUGCCUGCGGGCCACAAGGCCAAGACAGGAUCUGGUAAGUGACGAUUUGGAGGCUGGUCCUGAGGUGCAAGAGGGAGUGCCAGGGACAGAGAGGGCACCGGGGUGACUACAGUCCCUCCAGACUCACAUCUACCCGCACCUGUGGGUGGGGCCUUAUUUGCAUACAGGGUCUUUGCACACGUGGUUGGUUACAAUGAGGAUGCUGGAGGGGGUGGUCUGUGUCCCUGUUAACAACUCAUGUCCUUAAGAGAAAAGAGGAACGUGGACACCCACACAUCGGGAGACGGCCGCAUGGAGACGGAGCAGAGGCUGGAGUGACGCGGCCGCAGACCAAGGGCGCCUGGAGCCCCGGAAGCUGGGAGGGGCAGGAAGGGUCCUCCCCUGGAGCUACUCCUUGACCUCAGCUUCCUGUGGCCUCCAGGACAGGGACAGGCUGCUCUAAGCCACCCAGUUUGCAGCACUGCUGCGGCCGCCACGAGAAGCUCGUCCAGGGAGGAGGCUGCUCCAGCCCUGAGCCCCACGCGACUCCCGGAAAGGUGUACUGGCCAGACUCAGCGCCCUGAGGACGGGGUCGGAACCCAGCGCCCAGGAAGCUCCCCUCCCCCCGACCAAGGACCUCCCUCCAGGGUGUGCCCGGAGGAGGUCAAGACUCCACUGCCCUGAAGCAAACAAGGCGUCCAGCCCGAGCCAGGGUCACACGCCCAACAGGUAGGAUCCAGCAACCCCUGCGCAGCAGCCCCCGCCAUGCGAGGGAGGACCCGGAGUUGAGCGUGGCCCUGCCUGACAUCUGACCCCGCCGUCAGGAGCUCCACCAGGUCAGGGCUGCUCAGCUGACCCCACAGCCCCACCAGGCAUGGUCAGCACGGUGCCGAAUGCAGGCCUGGAAAGGGAAUAAAGGAGGCCCUGGGGAGGGGCCUUGGUGCUUCAUCCCAAGCCAACCCCGAAAGUGGAAGCCACAGGGCCAGGGGGACGUCGUGGCUGAGAUGCGAGCAGGGUGCCGGGCACCCCCAAGGCAGCACUGCUGUCCCUGAGAACAGAAGGAAGUCCAGGCCCAGAGUCAGAGCCAAGUGGAGUAGUGGUGGUUGCUGGCACUCAGUCCCGUACCCUUGGACAGAGCAAGAGUCCCAAGCCAGGAAUGUGAGGCCGAUGCCUUUUAGGAAGAAACCACAUCUGGGGAACCAGACCCCAGAUCCCAGAACCCAGACCUCAGAUCCCAGAUCCCAGAUCUCAGACCCCAGAUCCCAGACUUCAGAUC